UACGUAGGAUCCAAGCGUUAUCCGGAAUCACUGGGCGUAAAGCGUGCGUAGGCGGCGUGUUAAGUGAGAUGCGAAAUCUGGUGGCUCAACCAUCUAGACUGUAUUUCAUACUGGCAUGCUAGAGAGAGGCAGAGGUAAGUGGAAUUGAUAGUGUAGCAGUGAAAUGCGUAGAUAUUAUCAGGAACACCAAUGGCGAAGGCAGCUUACUGGGCCUUUUCUGACGCUGAGGCACGAAAGCGUGGGGAGCAAACAGG
rnacentral:rRNA from 1 species